UUGUUAAAUGUUUUUGUUCUUGAAAAUGAAGCAAAAUUAAGUUUAUUCGAUAUAUUUUGUGUAUUAAUCAACAAGACCUAAAUGGAUAGCUGUUAGCAAUCCUAAAUGAAGAUUUUUUGACAGCCGGUUUAUUUGCUUCAAAGAAGAUAUUCUCUGAUUUGCUUGUUGCGCCUAUGCAAUAAGAGAGUAUCAGUAAAUUGCAGUGCGUAUGCUGGUUCAUAAGUCAUUUUGUAAACAUUGUUGUUUAUUUAUAAAUUUUAAUAAUAAUAAUUAUAAUAAACUAUUGAUGUUGUGAAACUAAAAGUUUUGGUGUUAUGUUCUUUAAUUUUCAUUAAAAUAAAUUAAACGAAAAUUGUCUUCACGCAAUGUCAGAAACAAAUAUAAAAAAUGAUUUGAUAGUUGCUCUAACGGAACACCUGUCGAUUAGGACACGAAGCCUGCAUAAAAUGUUGAAAUAUAAAAUAAUUUAGACAAAUAAAAACAAAAUAGUGUCUCACUAAACUACGCUAAAUCAAGUUUGGAAAUUGCAAAACAGAAUUGAGAACGUGUUUUUGUAUGUGACUCCGUUGGACCUCAAAUGCAUAAGUAUAAAGCACGCAAUAAAAAUGGGGACACUAAUCAAAACAGUUUGUCUCAAGUCAAAGGCAUUGAUAUUUCAAUGAUGGAAUGCGAUUUUGAAUUUUAUUAUUGUUUCCUUACAAUUGUUGCAUUCGUCACCGUUUCAGCACUGAAGAAUCAAAAUUUACAAUAACCCAGGAAUUCCCCAAAAACACAAAUAAAGUAUUUUUGGAAAGACUAUGCCAAUAUUCGAUGUCAGGACAUUUCACAUGUCGAACUGCUGAAUAAUGAAACAUUGAAGAUUUGUUAAUUAAAGAUGAUUCCUGGUGAAAAUUGACGAUUAAAAUGAUUACACUUAAAUUACUGCAAAUAUAACCAGAUUGUAGUUAUAAUUUAAAUAUUAAAGACGAAGAUGACGGUUGUGAAUAACUUCAUGCUAAUUAUCAGUAGCAAGUUAAUGUGUAGCAUAUGCUAUUAACUUGUAUUUUAUACUUAUUAAAAAUAAUGUAUCUCUGCAGACAAGCUGCUCUAUAUUGUUAUCAUGUGGUGAUGCUUUAAAGCAAUGUGUAACUUUGAUAUACAUUAUGAAAUCAUACUAUGAUCAAAAAACAAAUACUGAAUUUAGUACUACGAAUUUAUUUCUCCAUAAGUCUCAUCUGCCGUAAUAUUUAAACAUCCCAGUCUUAAAGAAUGUUUAUAUGUAUUCCUGUUUAAAAAAUAUUGUUAUUUACUCACCAAGUAAGAGAUAAGACACAUUAGUUUAUUGGAAUAAUUAUUAAACUCAGCAUAAAAAAUGAUUGAAUGCAACAACAACAUGAUCUUCAAAAAACAAAAACUUAAGCAAGUCAUCAAAGCUAA